UACGUAGGGAGCAAGCGUUAUCCGGAUUUACUGGGUGUAAAGGGCGCGCAGGCGGGCUUGCAAGUUGGGAGUGAAAUCCCGGGGCUCAACCCCGGAACUGCUUUCAAAACUGUGAGUCUUGAGUGAUGGAGAGGCAGGUGGAAUUCCCAGUGUAGCGGUGAAAUGCGUAGAUAUUGGGAGGAACACCAGUGGCGAAGGCGGCCUGCUGGACAUUAACUGACGCUGAGGCGCGAAAGCGUGGGGAGCAAACAGG
rnacentral:rRNA from 1 species